rnacentral:rRNA from 1 species
CAGCAGCCACGGGAACACAGAGGGUGCGAGCGUUAAUCGGAUUUACUGGGCGUAAAGCGUGCGUAGGCGGCUUCUUAAGUCGGAUGUGAAAUCCCUGAGCUUAACUUAGGAAUUGCAUUCGAUACUGGGAAGCUAGAGUAUGGGAGAGGAUGGUAGAAUUCCAGGUGUAGCGGUGAAAUGCGUAGAGAUCUGGAGGAAUACCGAUGGCGAAGGCAGCCAUCUGGCCUAAUACUGACGCUGAGGUACGAAAGCAUGGGGAGCAAACAGGAUUAGAUACCCGGGUAGUCCCUGUCUCUUAUAA